rnacentral:rRNA from 1 species
CCUACGGGGUGCUGCAGUGGGGAAUAUUGGACAAUGGGCGAAAGCCUGAUCCAGCCAUGCCGCGUGUGUGAAGAAGGCCUUCGGGUUGUAAAGCACUUUCAGUGGGGAAGAAAGCCUUGGGGCUAAUACCCUCGAGGAAGGACAUCACCCACAGAAGAAGCACCGGCUAACUCCGUGCCAGCAGCCGCGGUAAUACGGAGGGUGCGAGCGUUAAUCGGAAUUACUGGGCGUAAAGCGCGCGUAGGCGGUCUGAUAAGCCGGUUGUGAAAGCCCCGGGCUCAACCUGGGAACGGCAUCCGGAACUGUCAGGCUAGAGUGCAGGAGGGGAAGGUAGAAUUCCCGGUGUAGCGGUGAAAUGCGUAGAGAUCGGGAGGAAUACCAGUGGCGAAGGCGGCCUUCUGGACUGACACUGACGCUGAGGUGCGAAAGCGUGGGUAGCAAACAGGAUUAGAUACCCCAGUAGUC